rnacentral:rRNA from 1 species
UUCCGGUUGAUCCUGCCGGAGGCUAUUGCUAUCGGGAUCCGAUUCAGGCAUGCUAGUCGUACGAGUUCAGACUCGUGGCGUAUAGCUCAGUAACACGUGGUCAAACCACCCUCUGGACCGGGAUACCCUCGGGAAACUGAGGUCAAUCCCGGAUACUGCUUUCACGUUGGAAAAACGGAAAGCUGGAAACGGUCCGCCGCCGGAGGACGUGACUGCGGCCGAUUAGGUAGACGGUGGGGUAACGGCCCACCGUGCCAAUAAUCGGUACGGGUUGUGAGAGCAAGAGCCCGGAGACGGAAUCUGAGACAAGAUUCCGGGCCCUACGGGGCGCAGCAGCCGCGAAACCUUUACACUGCACGACA